CUGCUCUGUGAAACCAGCCUCA
rnacentral:snRNA from 1 species